UAGAGUAGAGGCGGGGGAGGAGAGAGGUGAGAGGUUGCAGAUGAGUUGCAUUGCAAAGGAUGCUGCUGUUGCUACAGCACCUGCAGAGUCGUCAUCGCUCCAUUCAUCCCUUCCAUUCCGCGGGAAAAAAAAAAAAAGAGGAACGAAAAAAAAAAAGGAGUGGUUAUGUGAUUCUCCCACUAGCGGGAGGAGACGCGCACAGUGAAGAAAGGAAUAGCAUGGAUGGAGAGGAGAGGAAGGGGUGGAGGUGUGGUGGUGGGAGAAGGGGGUGGCGGGGGGCGUUUCCCUGCACAGUAUAACCUAUUCUCUGACUUCAGCGUGGAAACAGUGCGUGGCAUUAAGAACGGCUUCUCCGCGGGAGCAGCGUAAACGUGGACCAAGCGCUCGUGGUGAGAACAGAAGACACGUCCACACGAGUUGCCAUCACCGGCAGGCCGGACGUGGACAGUUGGGGCGGAGGAAGAGGCAAGAAAGAGGGAAGGGAGAUGAGGAGAGGAAGACCAAGGGGGCUAUAGUGCCUCUCCUCCUCCCAUCUUUUCUCCUCCUCAGCUGACAGCUACUGUGUCUCUAAUUGGCAAGUGUGGAUUGGGAAGAGUCUGGCUUAUUCUCCAUGGGACGGAGUAAGGAAGGCAGAAGGAUUGUGGAUUUUUUUUUUUCCUGGAAAGGAGCUGGAAGUUGGGAAAGAAGGAAGACAAUAGGUGCUGUCCUUAAAGAUUCGCCUCUACGAUGUAAUCUGAUUCAGGAGCUGAAAGGAUAAUACAGAAGAGGAAGAAAAAAAUAAAGGAGCUGAAUGGAGUGAGAAAGGAGUGGAAGCGUGGGUGGAGGCGGGCAUUUUGUGCUCCGGUCUCGACCACGGGUAUUCUUGGGUUGAUAAUACAGAUGUGGAUGUUAUUGCUUGAGAAUACGCGUAGUCGAGGGGAAGCUUUAUCAUCAACACUGGAUCUGAUGCGGAGAUCUGUUCUGUAGCGCUGCAGAGUCCAAACAUAUAAGGGAAGGAACGAAUGGAAAUGUUUGGUCAAUCAGGUUUUUGAAUUACCUUGCCUUGUAGGAGUACUCGUACACCUUGAGGUUUUCUGCAUUUUGUCACAUUGUAGCCACAAACUUCAAUUAGGUUUAUUGGGAUUAUUAUUGGGAUCUCUUAUAAAAUCCCAACGACUGUGUACUUUGUGCCCAAUUAUGCACAAACUAGUGCAUAAUUGUGAAGUGAAGGGAGACAUUUUAUAAAAACGUUAACAUUUUCACAAUUAAAAUUCCGAGAAGUGGGCCGUGCUUUUGCUCCGACACCCCUAAAUAAACUUUGGUUCAUUCAUUCAAGAUCAGAGAAGCAGAAUCAUUGUAACUCUGGAGGAGCAGCAGAGAUUCACAGCCCAGUCAGGAAAAUCUGUCGAUGAUGUGUCGAUAUGAUUUGUUGGCCAUAAGAACCAGAACAAGUCCGGUUCGCCUCAAGCCAUGUAGGGGAACACAGCAAAAAAAAAAAAAAAAAAACGUGGCAGAAGGCGUUUUGAUCAGAUGAGACUAAAACUUUCUGGCAUUCAAGAAAAAUCCCAGGUGUAUCUGAAAGCUAGCGCUGCACAUCCUUCUGAGAAACACAAGCCAAAACUAGCCAAGAAGAUACAAUGAGCUUUGUGGCUGUAAUGUGACAAAAUGUGACACAAAAGUUAAACGGAAGUGAUUACUUUUGCAAGGCAAAGUAAGAAGCAAUCGGGGCUUGCCAGGAGUCUCAAUUGAAUUCAGCCACUGACGAGGUGUUAUCCGCCAUGUCACUCUGUCCACCUGUGGAGCUGGUGCGUUCAGCAGCUCCCUCAUCAGAAGCUUUGCACCCCGCUGCUGAGCUAAAACCCAGGCCGUUCUGGGAGCUUAUCUCAAAAAGUCUUCACCAUUGCACAUUAAAUCUUUUGAUUAUCUACUCUUGUCAUUCACAAGCGAUGUCAUAGUCUCACCAUUUAAUAGCUGCCUUUUGUCGUUUUUAUGUCCAUAUUCAUUCCAAACAAGAACGCUUUAAAUUUCCAGACACGGUCCCUGAGAAUUUUGCUCAGCCACGAGCCCAUCCACACCACCCCCCUCCCUGCUCUUCGAUCCCCCCGUCCAUCCCCCCCCACCUCACUCUCCAGCUCAAAUCUUAUUAAAGGAGUAAAAAAAAUAAAUAAAAAAAGUGCUAGUUUGAUGCCAGUAGCUGCAGCAACAGGAGACAGUAACACAUGAGGACAUGUAAAGCUUGCACCCGUGGCUGACAUUUCAGCAUUUUGACUCAGUCGACUGGCUGUCAUGAUGCAGAAUCAGACUCGCGCUGACACAAACACGGGAUCUACAUGCCAGCAGGGAAACAGCGGGGUUUGAUGGAGGCUCAUGACAACAGGCACAUGGAUAGAUCCCGUCCAUUUCAGCACACAUGCGAUGCUGCGUGAAGGUUCACUGGGUCCGUACGCCUGGAGGGCGGAGGGGGGUUUGAGGGAUUGACUGCUUUUAUGGGUAACUAUUUUUGGUCACAGUGAUGGAUGUUUAUGUCUUUUAUUGAUCAGGUCCAGGGUGUGGGUUUGAAGAAUUCUUGGGACGUUUGGGCUCGCUGAUUAAUCAGGCGGCUGAGAUGGUGGAAUAAAACAUCCGGAAUAACAUUUUCGGAGCAUUAGCAUUAUUGCUAAAGUAUUAUAAAUUAGAAGAUCAGCAUCCGUUUGCAAAUUCAGCAAUUUGUCAGCAUCAGCCUGAGGAUAGAUUACGCUCCCGUCAAAUACACUUGCAUGAUUUCUUUCCAAUGUGUAAGCAAAUCUGUGACAGUAUGUAAUCAUAAUUAACGCAAAUUUCCCUCUGACGCUCCGUGAACUUGUUGAUUAGGGGAGAGCGCUUUCCGUGGCUAUGUGUGUGUUUAUGCAAGCGCGUGUAUGUUGCUCCCAAGCAACAAAAUGACUAUUGUGAGCACAGCUCCAGGUGCCUAGCAACCAAAAUCGCUCUGUUUCCCUGGCAACAGUUGCCCCGGACUCGCUGUGUGGGUUGAUUGGCAGCCUUGACAACAGGGAGACAGAGUGACACUUGACCUCGCGUGCUGAAUGGGAGAGGCGAAAAGAAGGAGCGAGAGACGGAGGAGGAGAGAGGGGGAGGGAGCAGGAGAAGCUGAGUGAUAAUCAUUCUCCAUUGUAAUCAUCCUCCAGCAUGUUUCAUAAGGCGCUGUCAAUACCUCUCCAGCUGGGGUCCAUCAUCGAACACAAUGCACGCCGCAGCGCAUGCAUGCAUGGACACACUCCUCCUGGGUGGAGAGCCCAGGCAAGCACUCAACAUCUCAUCUAUUAUCACUCAGGCCUGUCUGGUGCACAACCCCACUACACUGCCUUCUUUCAUUUCUGCUACAUUCUGUGCUCCGUGGGGAUGAAUGGGCUCCUGAAAACGUGCAACAGUCACAGAUGCCUCAGGACAGUAGAUUGGCAUUCAAAGACCUCCUUUAGCAUAUUGAAAUGUAACAUCAGCAUGUAGCUGUUGGAAGAUGUGUUUUUUCUACGUUUUCUAUUCUAGAUCAUGGAGUCAAGACAGCCUCCAUUGUGCAGAUGUUGUUUUACUAGAAAGAAAAAGAAAGAAGAAAAAAAAAGAGGCGUUUUUAUGUCUGAAGUGCAUGACAGAUUUAAACUGAAUGGUAUUAACAGGACUGAGUUUUGUUGUCUUUAUCAGUUCAGGUCAGAAGUUUACCCACAGCCAUCUUCUUCUCUGAAUGUAUUAAAUUUGGAUUUUUAAUGAA